GGACGGGUGUCUGAGCGGUUGAAGGUGCCAGUCUUGAAAACUGGUGUACGCAAGUACCGUGGGUUCGAAUCCCACCCUGUCCG
rnacentral:tRNA from 1 species